AGAAAUUCAAUCAUAAUGCCUCAUGUAUUUACAGAUGUCAAAUUAGGAGCGUAAAUAUAGUGGGGGUGUGGCAAACCUGUUUGCAAUUGCAAUUGCGCCGCUGGACUUGCAGAUCACUCUUAUGGUUUGUACCGGAUUGAGUUGGGUGGAGGUAACCUUUGUGCAGAUGAGUUUCCUUCGGGGUAUCCGGGGUUUACUCUGAAUUCUCUUCGUUAGCCUCCAGGGUUUUUU
rnacentral:lncRNA from 1 species